rnacentral:lncRNA from 1 species
UGUUUAUGUGUAAGUGGCUGAUGCGGGUGUUUGUCCUGAGUUGUGAGAGACUUACUGAAGAGGAACCCCUCCAGCAUAGUGAACACAGCAUGGGUUGGUGAGUCAGGGAUCCAGGCUCCCAGCCUGCUCUCACCCAUAACCUCUACUCAUUAGACUGGGAAUGUCCAGUGGAUUCGAGACACCUAAUUUUGAUAAUUUCUGUAUGUUGCAUAAAUAUUUGGAGUGUCAUGAGCCCUCUUAUUAAAUCUGGCAGGGGAUGGAGGUAAGAGAGGGAGACCAGGAGGGAGGAAAUGCUUCAUUUUGAUGGGUUAUUUGAUGUUGG